GGGUGCGAUCACACCAGCACUAAUGCACCGGAUUCCAUCAGAACUCCGAACUUAAGCGUGCUUGGACGAGAAUAGUUCUAAGAUGGGUUUGUCCUAUGACUUUCAUAGACACAGGCU
rnacentral:rRNA from 1 species